rfam:Oryza nivara chromosome 11, whole genome shotgun sequence.
UAUAAGAGAUUUUGAGUUUUUGCUUGCAACGUUUCACCACUCGUCUUAUUCAAAAUUUUUUGAAAUUAUUAAUUAUUUUAUUUGUGACUUACUUUAUUAUCUACAGUACUUUAAGCACAACUUUUCGUUUUUUAUAUUUGCAAAAAAAAUUUGAAUAAGACGAGUGGUCAAACGUUGCAAGCAAAAACUGAAAAUCCCUUAUA